UUUGGAAGCUUACACCUUUAUAAAUCUACUAUUAUUCACAAAUAUACAUAAAAAAAAGCUAAUAUAAUAAAGGACAUAAUAUGCUGUCCCACAUAAUCGCAUGUAGUGGAAUUUCACUAGAACGUCACGGGCUAAUUUUACAACUUUAUGAAUUUCUUCCAAAUAAUGCUGUUUUUCUAUAACGGCAACAUUUCGCAAUCCGUUGAAGCCGCCAUUUUGUGCUAGCGUCAUCAGUGUCAAAAAGUUUGUGAGGUGAAGUAAUUAUAUUUCGUGGGCAUUCCUCAUACGUGACGCGCAUUUUCACAGUAGCAAAUUAUGGUUUUAACGGCUGCUGAACGCGCUAAGCGAUAUAAAGACAAGGUGAAUUAAACCCAGAAAAAUACGAAGAACAGAAAAAGAAGUUCUAGAAAGGCUUAAAAAACAUCAAAAAAAGAUAACAGAAUUGACAGAAGAAAAAAAAAAGAAGAGAAAGAUAUGGAGAUAGCAAAAUAAUAAUGAAGAAAUAAGGUCUGAUUAUAGAUUGUAUGUUAUAAAAAUGUAUCUAAAAAAACCUAAUUUUGUAAUUUUUUUAUAGAUAAAUAUAAGUACAACGUAAACUUAAAACUAUUGAAGCUCGUCACAGACGAUAGUAAAGUAUCCUGCAAAAAACCUAUGGUCAUGUUAUUGAUCUUUACCUUACCUUUCCGCUAACGUAACUUUAAGUUCUAUUAUCGUCACUGUCUUAAUAUUGUAAGUGAAUAUUCAAAUAAUUAAAUAUAAAAGUAUUUGAAACAUUAUUUUCUGUCUUAGUUUUGUUAUAAAUCCGUCAUAUUUAAAAAAUAAAAUCAAUAAUAUAAUGUUUACCGUAUAAGUCGCAAAAAGAAAAACUAGUGAUGGUUUGUAUCGAAAGGUGACGUAUUGGAGCAAAUUCGGUAAUUAGUUUAGCACUUCAUGGUGUUCAAUUACAUUUCAUUGUGAUUUUAGAAUUA